rnacentral:lncRNA from 1 species
UUAAACUACAUGUUUUCUCUAUCAGUUUAUCAAAUGAAGUCAGUUUCAUCCGAGAGAAGUCUUGUUUGCAUGCUGCAAUUGGUGCAAGAGUAGUUCCAGGUCCUUCCAUGGGCUUUGUAUCAAGUGAUGAACUGAAAAGGAUUAACAAGAUACAAGACUUAGAAGAAGCAUCAAGAAGAUAUUAUUAGGCAGUAGUUUUAGUUCUCAGAAGAAUGCAGAUAUCUAAUCUGUACAUAUCAAGAAAAGAUAUUAUGCGACUUUUACAACUAAGUGUACUUUUUCUGGUUACCUUUUAUCUGUAUCAGGAACUGGCUCAUCACCAAUCCCUGAAACAUGAAGAUGAUAAUCCGAGUCCAACUCCCAAAGAGCUGGUUUUCCCUCUUGUGGUUGAAAGUAACCUAAAAAUCUGGUACCAUCACCAAAACAAAGAAAUAAAAACGGACAUGGUUAAAAUUUAUUAUUAAACAAUAAAAACAGAAGAUGGUUAAAAUUGAUUAUUAAACCCAAAUGCCAGUCUCCAUCAAUAGAGGUAUGUCUCAUUAGAAAAUGGCAGGGAACUGAUCAAGGGCAAAACUAUGUGUAAGUAUUAGCAUCAAUGUUGUAUUAUGAGGGAAAUGUACAGGUUUAUCGCAUCUUGCUUUUCACCAUCUGUGUAGGUAUUGCUGUAGUAUCUCUUGAUGGAUUUCAGAAACUCACGAGACUGUGUAGUAGCCCUCCACUUGCCUUGCCUCUCAGGGAAAACCUAGAACAAGUAUACUUUCAUGUCAACAAAAAUAUGUGUGUGUGUGUGUGUGUGUGUGUGUGUGUGUGUGUGUGUGAGAGAGAGAGAGAGAGAGAGAGAGAGAGAGAAGAAGANNNNNNNNNNNNNNNNNNNNGUGUGUGUGUGUGUGUGUGUGUGUGUAGUGUAGUAGAGAGAGAGAGAGAGAGAGAGAGAGAGAGAGAGAGAGAGAGAAAGAGAAUUCAACUUAUUGCAUCGGAAAAGAAGUAAACGACAAGAAAAUGAAAGUUUGACAAUCAAUAAAUAUGCUCAAUUUUAAGAAAAACCGCACAGUAUUAUGUGCUGCAGAGCCACCAUAUUGCUGAGCAAGUGCAUCACCCAUACUCUGGUACAUAUCCAUAAGAGCUGCAGCAAUGCUGCUAUCUGGAUCCACUUUAGGAAUGUCUGUAAGUCCCAUCGCCUGGAGUUGGCGACCUAAGGCUGCUAGGCCAUAAGCAUACUGGGCAACAUUUGUACGAUCCAAGCAAUCAAUGCAGUUCGUGCGCAGAACUCCACUUUGGAAACGAGGUCCAUCACCUAUUGAAUGACGAUUUAACUCUUUCUGUCUAUCCUGAUUAGCCAAAGGGUUUGUUGUUUCAAAGUUACUAGGCAUCCUUGAAAGAUCUCCUGAACUAGCUCUGACAUCACUAAGGGAACCAUCCCUGUAAAGAACAUUGAUAAACACAGUGUAGGUUACAUGUUUUUGCUGAAAAUUUCAAUGCUACAGCACCAUUAACAGCAUAUCAUCCACAAAAUGUCAUUAACUGUUAUACCAUCUGAAAAGAAAGUAAUAUGAGUUGGGAUUUAAUAUGAGUAGAUUAGGUUAAGCUGAGCUAGUAAGUAACAUGAGUUGAAAAAAUUUAGACAAAGAUUUUUUUUUAUUUAUUUACUAUGAUUUUACAUGUUUCUUAACAGAUAAAUAUUACAAAGGGCAAUGAAGACUUGUACACUUAACAUAUUAUUCCUUAAAUCAAUGACAUUUUAAAAGUUGAUUAGGACUAGUUUCUGUAUUAAGAAUAUAAAGAUCUAUCCUCUUUAAGACUCCAGUUUGUGGAGUAUAAUAUCUACACACAGCUCCAAAUUCUGUAAUUUUGAGAAUUGUGAUUCUAUGGUGAAUCAGAUAUUCGAUUGUAAUCCCCCUUAUCCUCUAUUCACUCUUCUGUUAAAACAGGGAUCUCUUUUCCUCUCUUCUUUACGAACUCAACCCAUGCUUUCUACUCUCUUAUUAAUCAUCAACUCAUAGGUAUGGAACCAAAGGUAACUGACAGCAUCCAAUAACGUCAUAGGAUACCCCUUUUUCCUCUGGUAAUAACUUCCAAGCCUUAUUGCCUCUCGCCCUAUCAACAACUUCUCUAAAUAUUAGUUGUGAAAGAAAACAUCAAUAUGCUAUAAAAGCACAUUAUUAUGGUCUGAAAAGAAGUUAAUUGUGAUGCAAUGGUUAUUGAUAUGAAUUUGGUCUCAUAUAUUUCCCAAUCACAAGGAGCCUAAGUCACGAAUAACAUGGUUGGCCCAACAUGUACAUGAUGUGCUUAUAAUUUAAGGACUUAAAAGAACAUGACAAAAUAUUUUCUUUAAUUAAAGGAUAUUAAUGCAGGCCAAUAAGCAAACUUGGCAUUUACGUUUCAAAGUCAUUUUUAACAUAAUAUGGAUAAACUGGAAGCACAUAAAUAGGAAGGCUCAUGAAGACUCAGACUCAUAGUUCUUGCAGUACUCCUAAAUCUAGGAUUUUGAUUUUGUCAGUUUAAACAAUUUUAGGAUUAAAAAGAGUUUAAGCCUCUGUAGGAAACCAUUUGGAGUACGUCACAAUCAUAGUCAUGAUCAUCAAGCAUUUUCCCAUUUAUUUGAGGCCAUUUGGAGUAGGUUAGUGUCAAAAACAUUAUAGGUCAAAGUAGCCCUUGAGUUCUAAAGUGAUUUUGGAGAUUUUAUGUAUAUAGGACUUGCAGAAACCUGAAUCUUUAUGAAGGUAAUUUUCAUUCUAUGGAUAUUGAUUGAGAGCUCUCUCUCCCCCAUCCUCCAUUUUCUUCUUCUUUUUUUUCCUGUCUUCACAAUUCUUUUUCUUUUCAAUCAAACCCUCUCCCUUUUGCUUUCUUUCCUUCUCGAAAUCAUCCUCUCUAUUUUUCGGAUAAAACUAGUACUUUAUUCCCUUCUAAUAGACAAGUGAAAUCCAUAUUUUAAUUUGUCAUAGCAUACUUUCUCAUAGUUAUGGAUGCAAAGGUACUAAAAAGCAUUUAUUAGACUCCUGGGACUCCCUUUUCUUCUCUCGCCAUAAGCAUAAAUCUUUUCUAGAUUCUAACCCUUUUCCUAUUGUUGGCACUUUCAAGGAAUCAAGGUUAUUGUGAUUCACUACAUCACAUGACAAACUUUAUUGCAGGCCAUCCAUCUCCAUUAAAAUGGAUAGCCUAGGAAAAUCUGAAAUCUAUAACUGUAACCUUCAAGCUUGUUCAAACUACAUAAGGCAAAGUUUGGGAUAUAAGAUAUUCAUCGUACAUAAAUACCAUAUAGUAGCACAAACACCCACUAAAUAUGUAUAUGUAGUAUGUAAACAUUAGAUAACAUCAUAACAAAAGCAUGGCAAGUGCAUGCAUACGCUCAAAUAUAUGAGUUGGGCUACAUGCUAAACUUUAAAAAAUAUUCCAACGCUAAAAAAUAAACGAUUGGUCCUUUAAUCUUGAAAUCCACAAUUUAGAUGGUUAUCUACCCUCGAAUGCCUCCAAACCAAGAAUCAUAUGUUUUAAAAGUCUCUAACUCAUACAUCAAGUGGGUGCAACAAAUAGACAACUUAUUACAGCUUACAUGACAUGAUACAAAAGUUUUCUUUGAUACAAGUAUCAAAAUCUAUUGAAUUCCAAUCUUUCUAUGUCUCAAGAUGCACAGAUCAUAAUUAGACUGCUUAAAUACUAGGCAAGCCGCUUAACCCACUUGAGCCUAGAUCGUUCUGGAUGGGCCUAGGCCUGCUUUUUAAGCCCGAAGGGCCAGGCCGGAAAUUUGAGCCCACCCAUUAAAUGGGUCGGGCUCGGGUUUACAUUGACCCGGCCCGAGCCUGGUAUGUAUGUAUGUAUGUGUAUAUAUAUAUAUAUAUAUAUAUAUAUAUAUAUAAAGCUUCAAUUAUGAACAAAAGAGUACAAGACGCUUAGAGGAAUAUCCUCUCAAGGAAGCUCUCUACUCUCCCUUAAGAAUUUGCUCCAUCCAAAUCCAUGACACCCAGCAAACUCAACCAUCUAGGCUUGAACCUAGACCCCUAAAGCUCAUGCGACUAGAACUUUGCUAAUUGGGGAUGGAAGCAAGGGCUAACGCCACUUGGAAUCGAAUCCCCAAUUGCUCGCUCGAGCUCAAAAGGUAGGAGGUAAUACUAUCCAAGCAAGUGCUCAGUGGUAAUGGGUAAGCAAAACUUGCCCAUUUGUAAUGAAAAAUGGUAGUCUUCAAUUAAGAAAUGGUCACCUACUCAAGAAAAUGGAGACUGGAUUAGGCAGCUGAAAUCUGGACAGGUUAACAAAAGCCAGAAUGCCAUGAAUGACACAUUUUAUUCAUUACAAUGAGCAAAUGCUUCUCAAUAUAAGAACGGUCUACAUGAGUAGACGCUCACUUCUUCCACCCCAGCACCUUCUCUUCCCCAAUGAUCCAUCUAGUCAACCGGCUUGGAUCCUCGGCAAGGGCUUUGCAUGAGGAGGCGAUACCAAGGUCAGCUCCUAUCUGGUCAUACUCCUUCAGAGCCGCUUCCAUCUCGGCUUCUACAAGUGCGUCGUCUGCGCUGUCCAGCCCCAUCCGCAAAGCAUCAGCAUAGUGCUUCUCUUUCUCGGGGUCGUGCUCAAAGGGAUCCAUGACUGGGCCCUGACAAAGUUCAGCAUAAUGCUUGUAAACCUCACAGUUUUCAUCUUGAUCAUAAAUCAAUGUCCCACCAUACCAACUGUUGGUUUCAUCAACAGACGUCAAUGCCAGAUACCUUUUGAAGAUAUCCUCCUCGAACAUGUCACCAGUGCAAGAAAGCCAAUUUAAUUCACCAUAACCAGAAGAACAUAACUCAUCUUGGGUUGCCCCACUUGCAUUUUCUUUCACAGUAACGUUUUUGGCAGGUACACUUUCUUCAUACUUUCUUUGACCAAACAACCAAUUUGGGCUUUUAAGCUGUAUUUCAGCUGCAUCUGGUGCCAUUCCAGGAUUUCCUGCAUUGCCUCUUGCUUUCAGAUCAGAUUCACUGUAAAGCCUCACGUUCUUUAUUAAACUACAUGUUUUCUCUAUCAGUUUAUCAAAUGAAGUCAGUUUCAUCCGAGAGAAGUCUUGUUUGCAUGCUGCAAUUGGUGCAAGAGUAGUUCCAGGUCCUUCCAUGGGCUUUGUAUCAAGUGAUGAACUUUUAUCUGUAUCAGGAACUGGCUCAUCACCAAUCCCUGAAACAUGAAGAUGAUAAUCCGAGUCCAACUCCCAAAGAGCUGGUUUUCCCUCUUGUGGUUGAAAGUAACCUAAAAAUAGGUUUAUCGCAUCUUGCUUUUCACCAUCUGUGUAGGUAUUGCUGUAGUAUCUCUUGAUGGAUUUCAGAAACUCACGAGACUGUGUAGUAGCCCUCCACUUGCCUUGCCUCUCAGGGAAAANNN